GUAGGUGAACCUGCGGAAGGAUCAUUAACGAAGACCGCCCUUCUCGUCGUCCACCCUGUGCACCGAGACCUUUUUCGCGCUCCAAAUGUCGAGGAUGAUAACGAAAUUAAAAUGGCACAAAAUGAAGCAACGGAUCUCUUGGCUCGC
rnacentral:misc_RNA from 1 species